GUGCGGGGGGACACGGACGCCGCCGGGCACCCCCACGCGCAUCGCGGCCCAAGCUGGGCUCUGGGAGCAGCCUCAUGACCGCUGCAAAGACGUGUUCUCAGCACAAAGAAAUCUAAAAACCACAAGAAAAUUGCAAACGCCACGAACACCUCCCCACCGAAAGCCACGAAACCCCCUCCAUGGACCACCACGAAACCCCAGUGGCUGAACACCUCGGAACCCCGACCACCAACCUCCUGGGGCCCCAGCAGCUUGAAUACCUCCUGCGCCCAGGAUUUCACUACCUCUCCGGACAGCCCAUUCUCUCCAAAUUUCUGGACGGCAGCUCAGGCCCCUGGAUGCAGCCAUGACUGCCAUAGCACCAGAAUUGUGCCUCCAUGCUGGGCUGAUGCCCCUGCCCCCAUGCCAAGGAUGCUUUAGUAUACCUUUUGGUGCUCCUGCUGCCUCAGCCACAGGAACGCACUGGUGCACUUGGGGCAGGGUUGUCAUGGGGCUGGGUUGGGAGGGUCUACAGGUGCUGAACUGGGAAGAUUCAAGCUCAAGACUGCCACUUCACCGAUUGCCGAAUGACCACAGAGGAGUCCCUGCCUUCCUCUGGCCACAACUUGUCCCUCUGUGGAGAGGAUGAGCUGAGUGACUGAUGACCUCAUGGACGUUCUGGAUGAUUUACAAGCACAGCCUGCUUUCCCUGUUGCGUCCGCCCUGCCCUCCCCUUUCCAUGCAUUUGGCUCUUCCUGCUGCCCCCCACCAGGGGUCCACAGAGACACAGAGAUAAGCUGUGCUUUGACUUGCUUUAUUGAGCCUGUGCAGGAACAGGGAGUGAGCUUCGGCCAGAGCCAACAGUGUGGAGGGGAGAGCUGGGCUGGCACUGCCCGUGGAGUGGUAGGGGGCGGGAGGUAGUGUUACAAGUCCAGCGGGCUGAGCUCUCUGUGAGGACAGAGUGGAACAUGGCAGUGUGGGGGGCAGGCCUCGUGCGUCAGGAGGCCUCAGGCCAGCCCUGGGCUCCUGUUCUCCCUCUUCCACCCCCCACCACACCUUUUCAAACCCUGAUUCAGUCCCACCAUCCCCAUUUCACCCCCAGGGAGCUGGACAGACAGGGUAGGGAGUCGAACUCACCUGGGGGCAGCAGCAUGGGAAGACCCCACUCUGAGAAGGCCAGCGUGUCCUCUUUGUCUCUUUCUCCAUACCUGGAAGCACUGUGCCCAGGUGCCAGCCCACCGGUUUCAUAUCCGCCUGUAGGCACCCUCUUGCCCAGGGCACAUGGGCCCAGGCCUGGUCAGCACAGAUGCUCUGUUUCCCCAAGAGUGGCCUGGAAGGGGCUGGGACUGGGGCUGGAGAUGGGGCUUGGGCUGGGGAUAGGGUGUGGCCAGGAAUGUGGAGUGGGCCCAGGGUCCCAGGGGCUGGGAUCUCUCUCCUUGUCCAUGGCACAUGCCUAGGCUUGGUCAGCAUGUUGAUGUAUCUACGGAGCUCAGCUGUGUACUGGGCCAUCUGCUCCGGUGUGGUAUUGUCCCCUGGGUACAAUGGCUCCAACGGGGCUCCCCGGGCACCCAGCAGUGGCUACAGCAACAGAGCCACACAGGUGGACAGGAGCAGGAGGGAGAGGCAGCGGCAUGCGGCAGCCAUCUGAGGAGCUAGCAGAGGGGAGGUGGAGGUGGAGGUGGAAGAGCCCAUGCUGAAGAUUUUCCUAUGCCCCGGAAGCAGGGCCCAUCUACCCAGCCGUUUAGCCCAUCAUCCAUUUCUCCAAGCCUGGGGACGAGAGGGCAGAGAAAAGGGCCACUCCGAGCUGACCACUCCACCUCCUAGACAGUGUGCUGGAGGCACGGACAGCCUGUCCUGUGAGCAGCCCAGCAGCCAGGGCCUCGCAAGUUAGAGAAGUGUAGCAGAGAAAAUGGAGACAUGAGUCCUGGAGACACAUGUCUCAUGACAUCCAGGUCCUCAUGGCUCUGAGGCAGCAGUAGCUAGUGGGAAAUAAGGGCACACCAGGUCACCCACAGGGUGUGGGACAUGGAAUGAACUGGGGAAGCAAAGGACAGAAAUCCAUGGUCUUGUGGGUCUGGCCCUCCACCCAACAGUAGAGACAGAUAUGGGUUCUGGAGAAGACAUCCUGCACAGACCGGCACAGCCACUCACACAGGGACACAUUCCAGUUCACAGCCAUGCACACGAGUGUGCACACACACUUGCAGUCAUCUGAUGGCUCUCCUAGUGUGACAGGUGUGUCCAGAUGCAGAGCAAUACCCAAGCAGGACCUUAGGGCUUUGAAGGCCCCUGGCCCUGCAAAGCACGAACUCCUUCCCUCCAUCCCAGACCCCAGCCUGGGGGAGUUCUCCAGAUCCCCAAGCAGGCUGAGCCCACUUACCCAGAGUCCAGAGUAAACGGUCACUGGACCAAGCAAGGACGUGUCCCUGCCCUCAGCUGGGCCGCUUUUUCAGUCCUCAGUCCCCUAGAGUCCCCGUCUCCUGUCAGCCUCUCCCACUCCGCAGCCCUUACUCCCUCCUCCCACUGUCUCCCUGGUACUCGCAACGCCACUACUGGGCCAGAGAUGGGAGGGGGACGGGAGUGCUGGGGGUGCCAGACUAGCAGCAUAGUCAAUAAAACUGGAUCACAGCAAAA